rnacentral:rRNA from 1 species
UACGUAAGGUGCAAGCGUUAAUCGGAAUUACUGGGCGUAAAGCGUGCGCAGGCGGUUUUGUAAGUCUGUCGUGAAAUCCCCGGGCUUAACCUGGGAAUGGCGAUGGAGACUGCAAGGCUAGAAUCUGGCAGAGGGGGGUAGAAUUCCACGUGUAGCAGUGAAAUGCGUAGAGAUGUGGAGGAACACCGAUGGCGAAGGCAGCCCCCUGGGCUAAGAUUGACGCUCAUGCACGAAAGCGUGGGGAGCAAACAGG